rnacentral:lncRNA from 1 species
UUUCUACUUAGAGAUUGCCUCCUGUGGGAGUUUUCAGCAAGAUCUUAUCUUUGGAAAGGGAGUAGCAAAGGACGUCCAGUACUUCACUGAAAAACGAUGGGACAGCAGUUCUGUCACGUUCUAAAGCAGCUGAGAAUUUGCAGUCUAAGGAAUUUGGUGUACCUCACAAGAAGGAGAGUGAUUCCUAUGCUGCUCCUAUUUGAAAGUCUUACAGACAUCAGGAUUUGUUGCAGACUGGGAGACAUGCAUUCUGUUUGCAAGCUGACAAAGUCUGUUCUACAUUCUGCUCCCAGCUACGUGACCAGGUUGUCUCUGUGCUAGGAAAAGAAAGCCACAAAAAUCCGACUCAAGAGCAGCAUGUAGGCUCCGUGCUCAAAGAGUUGAUAAAAACUUUUGGAUGUUAGGCUUAACACCUUCUUCACCCCAGCGGUUUCAUGCCAGCGAUAUUUCAAAGUGAUUCAAGGGCUCUUUUUUCCAGUGAACAGUGCUUAAAAGAUAGCAGGCUGCAAUGAGGAUUGUAACAGUGCUGUAACUAUUCUCAGGAAACUAUCAUUUGGGAAAGUCCUGGGAGAUAUCUUGGAGCUGUUUUGUGUUGUUCCCCAGUAAGGAGCAGAAGACACCUGCCAUUUAGUUAAAUGCCUUAUCUUGGCCUAUUUGGGAACCUCGUUUCAGAUGAAAGUGUCUAUGCUAAUCAAACAAAAUACUAUCAAAAGUGGUCCAGAUGAGAGUGAUAGCUUUAAAAAAAGCACUUUAAAAUGCUUGCGAUUUAUAGUUUUGUGUUAAAUCAGCUUAGCAUUCAUGAAAUAAAAGUGUUGACUACUUGCUGAC